ACAUGAUUUGGAUAUGCACUGUAAAAAACGAAAACUUAAAAUUGUUGGUCUCAUUAUGAUUUCUGAGUAAAAUUAAUAUAAAACAUUAAGUAUUCAUGUCAACUGUGCAAUGCAAUUUAGUCCAACCAACAAUGUUGAGUUUUGGGUCAAGAGUUGGGCUCACUGUAGUAUCUUUGUUAGCAAGACACACGGGGCGUGAGGCUGGGCCAACUACGGUGCACAUGCGCAUUUCGACACUUUGGAAAAUACGGGGUUUCCUAAUGGAAUUUUCAGAUGGUAAAUAUUGUGGCGACUCCUACCCCCCGGGGAGUCUGGGUAUUCGUGAUGCCGGUUGGGAAAAAGGGGUUUAUUGCCUUUUGUCAAUUUUUUUCUGUUAGGUUAAGUGGCGUUAACGGGUUUGGGGUCUUUAUUGUUUGUGUGUUGUUUAUUAUGCGUAGUGUUGCCGCCAUCGUUACCGAGACUUGCAUGUCUGUUGGUUUGUUGUGCGGUGCGCUGUAUGUUGUGGGUGUGUGUUAAAUAAAGGCAGCUCUCGGGAUCGUGCGGUGAAUGAGGCACGAGAGUUGCGUCACCGUUUAACCUGGGCUCCCGUCUCGUGCAGAACAAGUUUGACCAUAAUGUCUAACUUGUUCUGCACUCUGGUUUGCUGCAUUUAGACAGCGAUUCUCUGCUGCUGAACUAGCUACAGGUUGCUUGUUCUAUUGCUGUCUGGCAUUCAGAAAUGUAAAAUGGAAGUUUCCAAUUAUUAAUUUUAAUAAAGUGAACUUAAAACUUG